rnacentral:lncRNA from 1 species
AUGAAGUUAAUGAGCGAAAUCAUAGUUAUGAUGAUAAUUAUUUAUCCAAUGAAUUACGUUGUUCUGAUGCGACUGAAGCCAUCUGCCAGGUUUUCAACCUCAAAAAUCUUUUUUUUUUUUUCCCCGGAACAGAGAGAAGGAAAGAGACUGAAAUAUCACCAUAGCCAGGCAUGGAAGAAGAAUUGCUCAAACUGCAGAAAAGCCUGCAUUAUGUUACCUCCAACAGAAACACCUCACUUCUGGCAAGAAGUGUUUCUUCAGAAGGAGAAAUAGUCUACUGACUUGAGAGUGAGAAAAGAAGAGCUGGUUGAACAGUACUUACCCAGUGUUGUUUCCAAGUAGCUGGAACCAGAAACUGGAAUCAAAAAACACAUUGUCCACACCUGCUACACUGGGGACUGAAAUCUGUACAUCCAUACUGCUGCUGAGCAUGCAGAUGAAGAGAACAGCACAGCCUAGCAUAGGAAAGUCAUAUGUUCUCAGUGUCUUCUAUCAACUCUUAGUGUCUCGAGGGAAGAAUAAGUUGAAACACGUGCAGUGCAGGGCGGGUUGUACAAUGCUGAUCCACAUUGAAGAGAUC